AACGUAGGAGGCAAGCGUUAUCCGGAGUAACUGGGCGUAAAGGGCGGGUAGGGGGUUGUGUAAGUUGGUUAUGAAAGCUCCUGGCUAAACUGGGAGAGGUUGACCAAGACUGCAGAACUUGAGUGGAGAAGAGGUAAACGGAAUUCCGCGUGUAGUGGUGAAAUGCGUAGAGAUGCGGAAGAACACCAGUGGCGAAGGCGGUUUACUGGUCUCCAACUGACACUGAGCCGCGAAAGCAUGGGUAGCGAACGGG
rnacentral:rRNA from 1 species